rnacentral:rRNA from 1 species
AGGGCAGCCAAGUCGUGAGGCGGAGCUAAUCCCUUAAAGCCAUUCUCAGUUCGGAUUGUAGGCUGAAACUCGCCCACAUGAAGCUGGAGUUACUAGUAAUCGCAGAUCAGAAUGCUGCGGUGAAUGCGUUCCCGGGUCUUGUACACACCGCCCGUCACACCACGGAAGUUGGGGGCGCCCGAAGCCACUUAGCUAACCCUUUUGGGAAGCGAGUGUCGAAGGUGAAAUCAAUAACUGGGGUGAAGUCGUAACAAGGUAUC